rnacentral:rRNA from 1 species
UUGACCUCAAAUCAGGCGGGACUACCCGCUGAACUUAAGCAUAUCAAUAAGCGGAGGAAAAGAAACUAACAAGGAUUCCCCUAGUAACUGCGAGUGAAGCGGGAUGAGCUCAAAUUUAAAAUCUGGCGUCUUUGGCGUCCGAGUUGUAAUUUAGAGAAGUGUUUUCCGCGUCGGACCGUGUACAAGUCUCCUGGAACGGAGCGUCAUAGAGGGUGAGAAUCCCGUCUUUGACACGGACCCCCGAUGCUAUGUGAUACGCUCUCGAAGAGUCGAGUUGUUUGGGAAUGCAGCUCAAAAUGGGUGGUGAACUCCAUCUAAAGCUAAAUAUUGGCGAGAGACCGAUAGCGAACAAGUACCGUGAGGGAAAGAUGAAAAGCACUUUGGAAAGAGAGUGAAACAGUACGUGAAAUUGUUGAAAGGGAAACGCUUGAAGUCAGUCGCGUCCGCCGGGAUUCAGCCGCAAGGUGUACUUUCCGGUGGACGGGCCAGCAUCACUUUCGAUCAUCGGAAAAGGGCGUGAGGAAUGUGGCACCUCCGGGUGUGUUAUAGCCUCUCGUCGUAUACGGUGACCGGGAGUGAGGACCGCCUUUGUAGGAUGCUGGCGUA